GUGGAAGCCUUUUUUUUUUUUCCCAACAGUAUCUGGAAAAGAGAAAGAGAGAAACUCUCAUGGCUGACUGGUAUGCAGGAUCAGGGAAUCUCUCCACAGUAGUAGGCUGCUGGAUGAAUGGCCUUUACCAUGAAUUCUACACAGGAUGCCUUUUAGUUGGAGCAUGUACCCUCUCUUCAGCCUCUUGAUAUUAAUAGUUAAUAUGAUUCAUGAAUUAAAGAGAACAUUUCUUGAAAAUUUUACUUAUUAAUGAAUUCACUUGAUACUUUAAAAUGAUCAAAUAUACUUAUGCUAAUUUAUUCUCCUCUGAGAUGUUAUCCUGUGCUAUAUGAGAUACAGUAGUCUAGACCGUGGCCUCUAGCUUAGGGAUCAGCUUUCUGCCACUUGAUAUGAUUUGUACAAGGUACCCUCACCCACUGCAGAGCACAGGAGACCCUCUUAAUAAUUGCUAAUCGGAUGGCUACCCUAUAGCAUAGGCAGAAAGUUAUAUAUGCAUGUAAAGGUCAGCUGUUGAGAGGUAAAAUGAAAAAAGUUAAUCACCCAUGGGGGUGUUUGUGUGACCACCAACCUCUGACAACAUAUCACCACAUAGGGAAAAGUAAGAGACAAUUAACGUGAAUUCAUUUUCUCCAGCGAAGUUGUUGCUUUCUACACACGAUGGAUCUUAGACUGCCCAAACGUAAAACCAGUUCCCUUUAGUCUGAAUUGCAGAUGGAGGCUAUGGUCACUCUGUCCCUUCGCGUUUUCUCAUUUCAUUUGAGUCUGAUUCUUGUUGGUCUGCAUAGUUGCACAGAGACACCCACUUACGUCUCUGAUAAAUGGAUGGCUUGUCCUCAGGCUGUGGGCCUUGUUCGGUCACUCUAAAACUAAAUGACAUCUAUCAAACAGCAAAACAUAUGCAAAAGGUAGUCCAACAUAGCAUGAAUAAUUUCAAGUGUGAAGUUUGUGAUCCCCGAACAGAACUUUCUCCAGCUCGCUAUUUCUCUUUAGAUGUUCUGGAAGGAAGGCAAUUGUUAGAAUCUUUAGAAUAGUAAUCUUAUCCUUUGAUCAAAACUACUACAGAAAUGCUUUAGCUUGAAAUGUUCAAGUUUUAUUCUUCUCAGGUGGCUUACUUAUUGAACCCAUAUUCUCAGACAUUUAAAACAGUGGGGAUCUAUGCCUCCAUCUCUAUCCUGAUCAGUUGGCUGAAAGAACUGGGUAAGCAGUAGACACUUUCUCAGGUAUUUGGGCUCCAAUCAGAGGCCAUUUGUACUUUCUAUAGGAAAGUCAUAUGUAAGUGAUUUUUUAAAAAAGAUUUAUUUAUUUUUAUUUUAAUUUCUGGACAUGUCUGUGUGUGGGGAGGAUAUACCAUCCAUGUGCCAUGUAGCCGUGGAGGUCAGAAUGUGUUCAAUCCUCUGGAGAUAGUUACAGACAUUUGUGAGCCACCAAUGUGGAUUCUGGGAAUCACACUCAGGUCUUUACUUGAUGAAUCAUCUCAGCCCCUUGUCGGCUUUAUGUCUACAUCUGUAGGUUCACAUCCCGUGUCUACAUCUGUAGGGUCACAUCCCGUGUCUACAUCUGUAGGUUCACAUCACAUGUCUACAUCUGUAGGGUCACAUCCCGUGUCUACAUCUGUAGGGUCACAUCCCAUGUCUACAUCUGUAGGGUCACAUCACAUGUCUACCUCUGUAGGGUCACAUCCCGUGUCUACAUCUGUAGGUUCACAUCCCGUGUCUACAUCUGUAGGGUCACAUCCCGUGUCUACAUCUGUAGGGUCACAUCCCGUGUCUACAUCUGUAGGUUCACAUCCCGUGUCUACAUCUGUAGGUUCACAUCACAUGUCUACAUCUUUAGGUUCUAGGAUCUCAAACUCAUUAAGAAUCCUAGCUUUGACUGCAUUUAACCAUAUAUUAAGAGAGAAUAGGAACCCACAUGGGAAAUGGGAAAUGCCAGAGUUAGAUAUUGCAGAGAGGGGAAAGAUUAGCUUUGAACAUCUGCCUUGGAAUGGCAUUGAUCUUACCCUCAGUUUGUUUUGGCAUAUUUAAGUCCCUAAUUACCCGUGUUUAAUUUUGUUUGCCAUUCUAUUUCAUUUUUGCUGUCAGGAUUGACCUCUAGGCUUUUACUGCUUUAGUAACUCUCACAGUCUUCAUUUUAUCACUUCGACCAAGGCAAAGAAUGCAGUUACUGUUGCCCUACAGUUGUCUUUCUAAUUGCACUUCACACAAAUAAUGCCAUCACAGUUGUCUCUACUAGGCUCAGCAUGCUCUGGGAAGUCCACAACAGAUUAUGAAGCAUAUGAAACAAUGAACCCAUAUCAUUGAUAACCAUACAUUGAGUCACUCUUGUCACUCUGUAUCUGUGGGCACUGUUUUAUUUUAUUUUAUUUCAUUUCAGUUUUAUGAAAGGUAUUUAAAGAACUGGGAACACAAUGUGGGAACCAACUCUGUGUGUGUGGCAAAUCUAGUAAAUUUUUAGUAAGAGACUUUUAGAUUCAGGAAUCCACUCUCAUCUGUAAGUAUAAGAAAAGAAGAAAAUGUCAUAAUUUAAAUGUCAGAGAGAGAGAGACAGAGAGAGACAGACAGAGAGAGAGAGAGAGAGAGAGAGAGAGAGAGAGAGAGAGAGAGAGAUUGCCUAGAGAAAGAGGCUGUCUCCUCUACAGUUGCAAGUGUCUGAAAGUCUCCCACCACUGUGAACAGCCACUGUCUAAGACUCAAUUAGGGACAGAACUACAGAGACUGGGCCAGAGAUGGGAUCGAUAAAGAUGUCUGAUGGGGUAGACUUCUGUUGCUGCCAUGUAAGUUAACUUUUUGUUGGUUCUGGAGAGGAUGAGGACAUGCCAUAUGCUUGUCCUAGAUGCUGAAAGAUGAAGCUGCUUUAGUAAUCAAGGCCGAAGAUGUGAGAGAAAUUUGCAAUUUGGAAUAGGUUUCAUUUAUUUCUUUCUAAAACCUUCCCAACCCUUGUGGUAGGUCCUGAUGAGAAGCCAUCUGGUGAGGGUCUCCUGUCUUCAGGAAAGUAGAGCAAGUUAGAAAGGGUACAGACUGGGAAUGGUUCACAUCUAAGAGGCAAAGUUCACAACACUUCAGAAUACAGUGGUGCUUCACAAGUUCUACUGAUGUUUCAAGGUGUGUAAAACAAAUCAUUACAACCAUACAUCAUUGCUUACCACAGAGCCUGACCUGAGUUUGGUGCUCAGGAUGUGUGUAUUUGAAAUAGAGAACUUUCUCCUGACAGUCAUACCAUGGCUGGUACACACACACACACACACACACACACACACACACACACACACACACACACACAUUGUUAGCAUUUCCUCAAUGACAGAAGCUCCAACAGUCACCCACCAUCAAUAUUUGAGUGGUACUAAAUUUUCUUCCUAUACAGUCAAGUUCUCAUGAAACAUUCUGAACUCAACUGAAGGCUAAUUUAUUGUGCACACAAACCAAGGAAAAAUGUGUUCUUAUACUGCUCAGUUUUUCUUUGCAUAUCUGGCCAUAAUUCUCUUGGCCACUGUAUUACACCCUUUGCUUUCAGCUCUCAUGGCAAAGGGAGGUGAACUCAGAGUUCUUUCAUUGGUUGGGGGUAAUGAAACUGCCUUGCUCAAGUCCUUCUGAGUCCUUUGCAGCCUUGCCUCCAGGAGGAUGCUCUCAGCCAACUGCACCAACCAUUUCCAUUAUAAUCAUAGUCUUUCUCUUACUUUUGUACUUUUAGGAGAACAUCAUGGUAUCUCCAGGUAAUUGUAUUCUGAGAGAAUGACCCUGUAUUUUCCUGGGGUUAAAACUUUGGCACACAUGAAUUUUUCUAAUGGAUACUUUGUGUUUGCUUCCUGUUUCCUUUGUCCAACCAGCAUUUUUGUAAUGCAGCUGACCACCACGAUGAUCUGUAAGAUGUCAAGAUCAUAUAACUCUGUAUAGUUUACAUAGAUUGUUCUCUGGUUUACACUGGAUAGAUGCGAAAUGCAGCUCUGUGAAGACCAAGUUAUACAAAGAAGAGGUCUUCACUAAAGUACAACUCAAGAAAAUGGGGUGCCUCAUUCAAGAAUUCCAACUCAUGUACCAGGUAGAUGCCUUUGAGGCAGAGAGAUGCACUGCAUGUUCCUUUUCAGAAUGAAAAGAUUCAAGAGAGAGGAUCGAGCUGACAGGCAUCAGAAGACUGGAUGGACAAGGAGAAAACUUUCAGUUUGGAGAGAUGACUCAGUGCUUAAGAGAACUUACUGUUUUCUAGAGGGUCUUGGAGUUUAGUUCUAAGCAACCACACCAGGAGACUUACACCCACCUGUAACUUCAGCUUUAAGGGAUCUGAUGCUAUCUUUCAAUCUGUGUGGGUACCUCUACACAUAUGACCUGUACACACAAAGACACAUUUAUAAAUAAAAUACAAGUGGUAAUAAAAGAAAUAAAAGUUUCAGUGUAAAAUCAAUGAUGCUAGAAUAUGCCUACCUUCUCUUGUCUUUGUUCAUUGGGGAUGGAAUUGUUGAGAAGUUAGUUGACUUUCAGAGGACGUUUUAUGCCAAAAUUUAAAGAGUGGUUCUGAUCCUCUUUUCUUCCUGAACAUAUUCUUGGGUGUUCUAUUGGAAGGAAAAUGUCAGGGAGUAGGGUAUAGGCAUGCAUCAUGGGAAAAAUUACAGAAGCCGUAUGGCUUGCUUAUGUUGGUUGUCACCUAGACUUAGGGAAGGGAGAUUGUUAUAUAGUGAGCCAACCCAUUGGAGUAAAAGUAGAGUAAUCAAAGCCACCCUGAUAGGGGAAGGAGGGCAGGAGGGCAGGAGGUCUACCUCAACAGUUAAAGAUCACUGAGUGCCUUCCAGAGGACAUGGUUCGGUUCCCAGCACCUGUACGCCCUCUUUCAAUUUUUCUGAUUCCAGGAUUCUGAUGCACUUUCCUGGUAUCUGGGCAUUAGGUCUGCAUGAAGAGAAAACACACACACACACACACACACACACACACACACACAGACACAGACACACACACACACAGAGAUGCGCGCGCACACACAUACAGAUUAAAUAUCUAUACAGAUGAUAGGGAUGCAAAAUAAAUAAACUAAAGAAAAAGAUCAUCAACAUAAGAAAAAACUCCCUGAUAAAAUGUCUCUACUUUGGUCACUGUAUUUCUAGGGAGAACUUUGGAGAGAAGGAUGAGAUGGUUAAGAGAAAGUUGCAUUGUUCAUGGCCCUGGACAUGAACCACACAAGUAAUAUCCCUUUGUGGUUCCCAUUACAAUGAGUGUUGCUGGGCAACAGCAGCUGGAUUGAAGUAAGAUGGGCAUGGCCACAUACACUGAUGAUUAUAUUGAUCACAUUUUCUUAAUUACAUUUAUCAAAAGCAGAACCUUUUAUAUAUGUUGAGCAAUUUUGUUCAGGCUUUUGUAAGGAGACAAAUAACUGAGAUCAGACGGCCCAAAUAUCAGAGAAUCUCAGCAGGGUGCCUUUGCCUUAGUUUUCCAGGGAGGAGCUAGCAAGCUGCAGAUAGGGAGAUUCCUAAUUAGAACUGGUGUGAGGCAAGGGGAAGCCUCAAUCAUUCAUCUGAAUAGGAAAUGUUUUUUUUCACCCCUGCAGUUAAUUGGCUUUAGGGGGCAAAUCUGUCUAAACUUAGUGAAAUAGUGAUAAAGAAUGUUUUUAAAAGUAGUUCUCAGUCAUUGGUCCAAGUCUGGGAAACGGGAAUGUUAAUGUUGGGCCUUACCAGCAAAAGGUCAGUUGGAUUCUCUCCCUUCUCUUCUCGUUUAAUUUUCUCUUCUUCCCUCUCCUUUCCUCCCUCCCCCUUCUCCUUCCUCCUCCCAUCCUUUCCCCUUUUCCCCUCCUCCCUUUUCCCCUCCUUCCCAUUCCCCUUUCUCUGUUUUCUCUCCUUUUUACUCCUCUCCUUCUCUCCUCUUGUAUCUUCCUGCC
ensembl:lncRNA